rnacentral:rRNA from 1 species
CCUACGGGUGGCAGCAGUAGGGAAUCUUCCACAAUGGGCGAAAGCCUGAUGGAGCAACGCCGCGUGGGUGAAGAAGGUCUUCGGAUCGUAAAACCCUGUUGUUAGAGAAGAAAGUGAGUGAGAGUAAAUGUUCACGUUUCGACGGUAUCUAACCAGAAAGCCACGGAUAACUACGUGCCAGCAGCCGCGGUAAUACGUAGGUGUCAAGAGUUAUCCGGAUGUACUGGGCGUAAAGGGAACGAAGGCGGUAGUUUAAGUCUGAUGUGAAAGGCUUCGGCUUAACCGGCGUAGUGCAUUGGAAACUGGAAGACUUGAGUGCAGAAGAGGAAAGUGGAACUCCUUGUGUAGCGGUGAAAUGCGUAGAUAUAUGGAGGAACACCAGUGGCGAAAGCGGCUUACUGGACUGUAACUGACGCUGAGGUUCGAAAGCGUGGGGAGCAAACAGGAUUAGAUACCCCGGUAGUC